rnacentral:rRNA from 1 species
GUGCCAGCCGCCGCGGUAAGACGAACCGUGCGAACGUUGUUCGGAAUCACUGGGCUUAAAGGGCGCGUAGGCGGCUUGCCAAGUCAGGGGUGAAAUACUUCAGCUUAACUGGAGAAGUGCCCUUGAUACUGGCGGGCUCGAGGGAAGUAGGGGUCUGUGGAACUUCUGGUGGAGCGGUGAAAUGCGUUGAUAUCAGAAGGAACGCCGGUGGCGAAAGCGACGGACUGGACUUCUUCUGACGCUGAGGCGCGAAAGCUAGGGGAGCAAACGGGAUUAGAUACCCCGGUAGUCCUAGCCCUAAACGAUGGGUACUAGAUUGUAGACUUGACAUGGGUUUACAGUCGAAGCAAAAGUGUUAAGUACCCCGCCUGGGGAGUAUGGUCGCAAGGCUGAA